UGCCGCCCCCUGCCCCGUCUGGGGACCGCCGGGGCUGGCGGGCAGCCCGGACCCUCCCGAAGCCCCCAGGGCCGGGGGGCGGGCAGAGCCGCCCGAGUUUUCGGACUCGCGUUGUUUCUGCAAUGGCCGGAGGGGAGGCUCUCGGGAUGGGAGGGGGCUCUGGUCUGUAACACGGCCUUGGGGGUUCCCUCAACCCAGGACCCACCCGCAGCCAGCCGCGCGGCCUCAGCGGUCAGGGAGCUCUGGGCGGGCACCCCCCUCCCCACACCCUGCCCCGGAGUCCUCUUCAGCCCAGACAACGCCUAAUGCAGCGCUGCCCCUGAACCUGAACCUGAACGGAAGGGCCCAGUCUGGGUCCUGGGCCGCAGUGACCCUUGUUUUACACACACACGCAAAAGGAGCCCCGCAUUCUACCAGGCACAGCUGUGCCUAUGGGGACAAAGUGCAGUGGACCUUAACUUGGGGCCGGCCCUGGAACAUCUGGCCUGCCCGGCGGUGGAGCGUUUGGGUCCACGCAGGCAAGGAGCCGGGAACACCCCACUGCAAGGAGAGGGCCCAGCUGGGGAGACGAGGGUGUUGGCUACUCCUGGUCUCCCCUGGGCUCAGCCCACCCCCAUUCCUGCUGCUCCUCCUAGACUGGAAUCCAGAAAAGGAAAAAGUGAUCUGUGUGGCCUCUGGCGCCAUGGCCUUCUGCUGUGCUCCAUCUGAUGUCCCUGUCCUGCCUCUUUAUAGCACCUUGAAGCAGACCCUCAGGGUGAACUUUGGGUCCUCUCCACUCUUCCUACUUCAAUCUGCAACCCCUUUAUCAGAAGCUUGCUGCUCAAGAUUCAGGUUCUCCUCUGAAGCAAGCCUCAGCGACCUGGAUGUCUAUAGGGAUCCUGCGAAGAGACAAUGACCCUGGGAGGCAGACCCACAUCAGGAUUCCAAUAGGAAGAGGGGUUAAGCCUGUAGAGUGUGGGCCCAGAGGGCAGAACAAGCCCCACAGGGAAGCAGACAUCAGCUCAACCCAGGAAGACUUUCAAGGCAGGAUCCACUGUAUCACGCCCAGCUUCAGGCCUACCUUCUAGUGGGAAAGCUCCCACCAUCCUUGUAUAACUCUAAAUUCCCUGGCAUGGAUACAAGUUCCCUCAGAAUCCAGCCCUGCUUACUUCUCCAAUCCUUUAGUCUCCAGCUGUCAGAACUUAGUCUAUAUCCCAUCCCCACCAAACAGAACCUCUCCUGCUCCUCCAAAAUGUCAAGCCUUCAAUUCCUUAGCCUUCCUUGCUUGCCUCUCUCCUCCAGGAUUUGACCCAUUCUGGUAGCUCUGUCUAACCUGCCCGUCCCGAUCCUGUCACCCUGUAAUUAAUUCCCUCUAACCCCACAGCUAGAUGACAUGUCCCUGAUCUCUGCUCCUUCUAUACCCCAUAUUAAAAUUAUUUACUGCGGGGGAUCCCUGGGUGGCUCAGCGGUUUAGUGCCUGCCUUUGGCCCAGGGCGCGAUCCUGGAGUCCUGGGAUCGAGUCCCGCGUCAGGCUCCCGGCACGAGCCUGCUUCUCCCUCCUCCUGUAUCUCUGCCUCUCUCUCUCUCUCUAUGUCUACCAUAAAUAAAUAAAUAAAUCUUUAAAAAAAAGAGAGCGAG
ensembl:lncRNA